CAGUCGCCACGGGAAUACGAAGGGGGCUAGCGUUGCUCGGAAUGACUGGGCGUAAAGGGCGCGUAGGCGGCGAUCAAAGUCAGGCGUGAAAUUCCUGGGCUCAACCUGGGGGCUGCGCUUGAUACUUGGUUGCUUGAGUGGGGAAGAGGGUCGUGGAAUUCCCAGUGUAGAGGUGAAAUUCGUAGAUAUUGGGAAGAACACCGGUGGCGAAGGCGGCGACCUGGUCCUUGACUGACGCUGAGGCGCGAAAGCGUGGGGAGCAAACAGGAUUAGAUACCCCUGUAGUCCUGUCUCUUAUACA
rnacentral:rRNA from 1 species